rnacentral:tRNA from 1 species
GGGCAGGUAGCUCAGUCGGUUAGAGCGCUACGCUCACAUCGUAGAGGUCGGGGGUUCGAGUCCCUUCCUGCCCACCA